rnacentral:rRNA from 1 species
CCUACGGGUGGCUGCAGUGGGGAAUAUUGGACAAUGGGGGCAACCCUGAUCCAGCCAUGCCGCGUGUGUGAAGAAGGCCCUCGGGUUGUAAAGCACUUUCAGUGAGGAAGAACGCCUGGUGGUUAAUACCCAUCAGGAAAGACAUCACUCACAGAAGAAGCACCGGCUAACUCCGUGCCAGCAGCCGCGGUAAUACGGAGGGUGCGAGCGUUAAUCGGAAUUACUGGGCGUAAAGCGCGCGUAGGUGGCUUGAUAAGCCGGUUGUGAAAGCCCCGGGCUCAACCUGGGAACGGCAUCCGGAACUGUCAAGCUAGAGUGCAGGAGAGGAAGGUAGAAUUCCCGGUGUAGCGGUGAAAUGCGUAGAGAUCGGGAGGAAUAACAGUGGCGAAGGCGGCCUUCUGGACUGACACUGACACUGAGGUGCGAAAGCGUGGGUAGCAAACAGGAUUAGAUACCCUGGUAGUC